AUUAGUGGGUGAUUGCGUAUGGCAACUGCCAUAUGAGGAAAGUCCAUGCUCGCACUGACUGCGAGGUCAGUAGUGUUCAUGCUAGCUGAAAAAAUAAGGCUAGGCAGUUAAGGUAACUUAACUGACGGCCAACGAAAAUCCUAAGGGUAACUAUGGAUGAGUAGUUGUGAAGGUGCCACAGUGACGAAUCAUCAAAGAAAUGCGAUGAAUGGAACGCGGUAAACCCCAUGAGCGGGCAACCCAAACUUUGGUAGGGGCGCUUGGCCUAGCGAAAUGAAGUGAUGGCCGGGGAGACAGAAAUGUCUGAGAUAGAUGAUUGCCACCGUGCACGGACUGCCACUUUGUGUACGGAACAAAACAUGGCUUACAGCU
rnacentral:RNase_P_RNA from 2 species